UACGUAGGGGGCUAGCGUUGUCCGGAAUCAUUGGGCGUAAAGCGCGUGUAGGCGGCCCGGUAAGUCCGCUGUGAAAGUCGGGGGCUCAACCCUCGGAUGGCGGUGGAUACUGUCGGGCUUGAGUGCGGAAGAGGCGAGUGGAAUUCCUGGUGUAGCGGUGAAAUGCGCAGAUAUCGGAAGGAACACCUGUGGCGAAAGCGGCUCACUGGACCAUUACUGACGCUGAGGCACGAAAGCUAGGGGAGCAAACAGG
rnacentral:rRNA from 1 species